rnacentral:rRNA from 1 species
GACAGAGGUGCCGAGCGUUAGGCGGAAUCACUGGGCUUAAAGCGUGUGUAGGCGGGUCGGUAAGUGUCUUGUGAAAUCCCACCGCUCAACGGUGGAACUGCUGGGCAUACUGGCGAUCUUGAGCCACCUAGGGGCAGACGGAACAAGCGGUGGAGCGGUGAAAUGCGUAGAUAUCGCUUGGAACGCCGACGGUGAAAACAGUCUGCUGGGGGUGUGCUGACGCUGGGACACGAAAGCCAGGGGAGCGAACGGG